ensembl:lncRNA
CGUCAUGUAUCUCAUUCCUUUUCACUCGGUUUGGAAAUGGCUCGCUGUGUAUCGCGAGUGUGUAAUGUGCUUGUUUUACGCGGUUGUUUCUUUAUGGCGGUUAACAUCGGCUUGUAAACAAAAAGCCCGUCUACGUCAGCCACUAUGUAGCCAAAAUGUCGUCUUUUAUUUGACUUCCACAUUCUAUGUCCCAUGCCACAAACCGAUGGCGUCGUGAGGGGGGGAUGGAGGGAGUGUGAAAGAGACCCACAAACGAGUAGCGAGGCCACACUAGGUAUCCCCAUCUCAGAGCUGAGCGCUCCAUGCCACUAGCGGGUCUGGCCGAACCUAUCUUUAGUAGGCCCGUCCAGAACCUGUCUUUCUUCAACUUAGUUUUCCUGUCAAGUUAUCGGCCCAUUUAAAGAUACAGCGCGUGUUCAGAGGCUAAUAAUGACCAACCAAUUGAAACAAGUCCCGAUGUUUUUUUUGUGCUGGUGGAUACAUUUGGUACGACCAUGGAGGAAUGGUUAGGCUACUUUGAAACUGAUAAUGUAGGUCUGCCAGGUCUGAGUUGGUGAAGAUACGUUGUUGCAGACACUCCAUUGCAUCAACAUGCAAUAGACUCGAGGCUGAUGCUUCUUGUUCCAAAUGAAUGGAUUUCUGACCCAAUCUCUAGUCUUUUGUGAAGCAUCAGCAUUAGCCUCAACUACAGUUAUAAUCUAGUUAGUCCAGGGGAACACAGAUCUGGCCCUAGGAGGUCUGGAGUACUGCUGCUUUUCUGUUCUACCUGAUAAUGAAUUGCACCCACAAUACAGUCAGGGACAGAUAUUUAGGCAACACAGUGAUAUGGAUUAUUGUACUGCAUUACAGGUACGCCCAAUGUAAUAGAUCAUUAAUAGUAGUCAGAUCUUGGUGAAUAAACACUGUCGCAGGUAGUGCACUGCAUACCAGGUGCUACUGAACAUCUGGUUUAUGAGUUGAUAGUCUGGUACUGGAGAUUAUAGUAAUGUCAUGGAGGUGGUACAGUAGAUUAUAGUAAUAGUAAUGUCAUGGAGGUGGUACAGUAGAUUAUAGUAAUGUCAUGGAGGUGGUACAGUAGAUUAUAGUAAUGUCAUGGAGGUGGUACAGUAGGUUAUAGUAAUGUCAUGGAGGUGGUACAGUAGAUUAUAGUAAUGUCAUGGAGGUGGUACAGUAGAUUAUAGUAAUGUCAUGGAGGUGGUACAGUAGUUAUAGUAAUGUCAUGGAGGUGGUACAUAGAUUAUAGUAAUGUCAUGGAGGUGGUACAGUAGAUUAUAGUAAUGUCAUAGAGGUGGUACAGUAGAUUAUAGUAAUGUCAUGGAGGUGAUACAGUAGAUUAUAGUAAUGUCAUGGAGGUGGUAUAGUAGUUUAUAGUACUAGUAAUGUCAUGGAGGUGGUACAGUAGGUUAUAGUAAUGUCAUGGAGGUGGUACAGAAUAUUAUAGUAAUAGUAAUGUCAUGGAGGUGGUACAGUAGUUUAUAGUACUAGUAAUGUCAUGGAGGUGGUACAGUAGGUUAUAGUAAUUUCAUCCCUAAAGCCAACACCUCAUUUGGCCGCCUUUCGUUCCAGUACUCUGCUGCCUGUGACUGGAACGAAUUGCAAAAAUCGCUGAAGUCGGAGACUUUUAUCUCCCUCACCAACUUCAAACAUCAGCUAUCUGAGCAGCUAACCGAUCGCUGCUGCUGUACAUAGUCUAUUGGUAAAUAGCCCACCCAUUUUCACCUACCUCAUCCCCAUACUGUUUUUAUUUAUUUACUUGCUCUUUUGCACACCAAUAUCUCUACCUGUACAUGACCAUCUGAUCAUUUUUCACUCCAGUGUUAAUCUGCAAAAUUGUAAUUAUUCGCCUACCUCCUCAUGCCUUUUGCACACAUUGUAUAUAGACUCCCCCCUUUGUUUUCUACUGUGUUAUUGACUUGUUAAUUGUUUAUUCCAUGUGUAACUCUGUGUUGUCUGCUCACACUGCUAUGCUUUAUCUUGGCCAGGUCGCAGUUGCAAAUGAGAACUUGUUCUCAACUGGCCUACCUGGUUAAAUAAAGGUGAAAUAAAAUAAAAAAGUAAAAUAAACAGUAGAUUAUAGUAAUAGUAAUGUAAUGGAGGUGGUACAGUAGAUUAUAGUAAUGUCAUGGAGGUGGUACAGUAGAUUGUAGUAAUGUCAUGGAGGUGGUACAGUAGAUUAUAGUAAUGUCAUGGAGGUGGUACAGUAGAUUAUAGUAAUGUCAUGGAGAUGGUACAGUAGAUUAUAGUAAUGUCAUGGAGGUGGUAUAGUAGAUUAUAGUAAUGUCAUGGAGGUGGUACAGAAGAUUAUAGUAAUAGUAAUGUCAUGGAGGUGGUACAGUAGAUUAUAGUAAUAAUAAUGUCAUGGAGGGGGUACAGUAGAUUAUAGUAAUGCCAUGGAGGAUGGUAUAGUAGAUUAUAGUAAUGCCAUGGAGAUGGUACAGUAGAUUAUAGUAAUGUCAUGGAGGUGGUACAGUAGAUUAUAGUAAUGUCAUGGAGGUGGUACAGUAGAUUAUAGUAAUGUCAUGGAGGUGGUACAGUAGAUUAUAGUAAUAGUAAUGUCAUGGAGGUGGUACUGUAUAUUAUAGUAAUGUCAUGGAGGUGAUAUAGUAGAUUAUAGUAAUGUCAUGGAGGUGGUAUAGUAGAUUAUAGUAAUAGUAAUGUCAUGGAGGUGGUACAGUAGAUUAUAGUAAUAGUAAUGUCAUGGAGGUGGUACAGUACUUGUUAGUAUUGCUAACCUUCGGAUUACAGAGGCUCAGUGGGGUUCCAAAAUAGCGGCCCUGGUGUUCAGUGCUGGUAUUACCGAAUGUCCCUGGAUGGCACAAGGUCGGUAUGAAGGUAUGAUGAUCUUUAUAUCACCCAAACCUACCAGGCUGUGAUAGACUGACAGGAUGCUCUCAAUGGUGCAUCUGUAGGCGGUCUUAGGGGGCCAACCUCCUGAUAUUGAAGAGAUGCUGUUACACCAUUUUCACUCAACUCUGUAACUGUUUUAAAGUUACAGUUGGCCUUAUGAAAUCCCUGAACAGUUUCCUUUCUCUCUGACAACUGAGUUAGGAAGGACGUCUGUAUCUUUGUAGUGACUGGGUAUAAUGAUACGCCAUCCAAAUUGUAAUUAAUAACUUCACCAUGUGCAAAGGGAUAUCCAAUGUUCAAUAUCCAUCUACCAAUAGGUGCCCUUCUUUACGAGGCAUUGGAAAACGUCCCUGGUCAAAAUGUGGAAAAAGUCAAGAGGCGUGAAUACUUUCUGAAGGUACUGUAGGUCCUUAGUGAUGUGGACACCGAGGAGCCUAAAGCUCUCAACCCGCUCCACUACAGCCCUGUCGAUGUGAAUGGGGGCGUGCUUGGUUCUCCGUUUCCUGUAGUCCACCAUCAACCAGUUUUGAUAGUAAAGUGGAAAGUGCAAGAACAAAAUUAUGUUUGGAUUCUUGCGAGGGCAUAGUGUACUGUCGUCUUGUUAUAGUCUUGUGUCUCGCUCUUCCGGCGCCUGGACGCUCUUCCGGCGCCGACAGAGAUGGCCGCCUCGCUUCGCGUUCCUAGGAAACUAUGCAGUUUUUUGUUUUUUUACGUGUUAUUUCUUACAUUAGUACCCCAGGUCAUCUUAGG